rnacentral:rRNA from 1 species
UACAGAGGUCCCAAGCGUUGUUCGGAUUCACCGGGCGUAAAGGGUGCGUAGGUGGUGAGGUAAGUCGGAUGUGAAAGCUCGGAGCUCAACUCCGAAAUGGCAUUGGAAACUACCUUGCUCGAGGGUUGGAGGGGGGACUGGAAUACUUGGUGUAGCAGUGAAAUGCGUAGAUAUUGGGAAGAACACCGGUGGCGAAGGCGGCUAUCUGGACCGUAACUGACGCUGAGGCGCGAAAGCGUGGGGAGCAAACAGG